AUGCUUACUAGAGUGUUAGGGCACGAGACAAUAGGUAGGUUGCAGUGUUCAUUGUUACUAUUUCUUGAAUUUUCUCGUUUGUCUAAACUAUGUGUGGCCAAUUUUCAGUGAUGUGCGUUCCCCCUUGAUCUUUUUUAAUGAGAAAUGUCCUGUUUGAUGCAUUGUAGUAGUGUGGUUUGGUUUCUCAUUCCAAAGCAAAGCACACAUUGCAUUGAAAGUGCCAAGUUGUUUAUUGGAUGAUAUGUGUUUAGCUGCAAUCCUAAAUCUUUUCGUGUUUACUGUGUAGAGUUAGUGAGAUAAGUAUUAGAAUAUUUGAAGCAAUUGUGUGAACUACAUCACAGAAGCAAUUAUGUAAAUAGCAUCACAAGAGCAACCAUGUGAAGCAUCUUCUGUGACCCUUAUUUCAUCUCUAUAUUACAUAUAGAGAUGAAAUAGUUUUGAUAAAUGCUGACCCCAAUAAGUGGGCUUUCAGUAACAGUUAUAGCAGCGGGAAGAUGAUAAUGGACAUAAUUUUGUCUGCUAUCUCUCAUUUGUGAAGUAGGACAGUGCUUAACAUGAACGUCUGUUGUAUGGCAUAUGGGCAUACAGUAAUGUGUAUUUGCACCUAUACCUUUAUGUGAAAAAUUCGCUGACUUGGCAUGUCAUUCCAUGAUUGAUUUCGAUGAGCAUCUACGACUGACCCAGUAUAUUAAUUUGUAGUUGCUUCUACUCAUGCUGAUAAUUUCUUUGAGGAUGAUCUGAUGGUUGCUUUGUACCUGGUGACAGUUUUCUAUCAGUCUCCCUUAAUACACAUUAUCAGCAGCUCGGAGGAGUCUGAAGAACCUGUGUCAGGUAAACAGUAAAGUUGAGCAUCACUCUUUGCUGUUGUUUGUUAUAUAUAGCUUUGUUUAAAUCUUGUGACCGUUUGUGAUUUGUACAUUUUCGAAUUUGUUGAUUCUGAUCCUAAAUUGCUGUUUGGUCGAACCUUAUGUAAGCAUCUUAUUUUAUGUUCACUAUACUUUCCCAGAUUGUUUCAGAAGUUUGGCUUUUUAUUCUUUUCCCUUGAACCUGAGUUUGGCCUUUUAUAAUGAGCAUAGAUGGUGUUUAUUUUAUCUGUCUUUUGUCAUGAAUUGGCAAAUAGCUACACGCCGGAAAAUUUGUAGAAUUGUAGACAACUAAUUCCUGCAUAUUAUUUUUGCUACACGCCGGAAAAAUUGCGGAAUUGUGGACAACUAAUUCCUGCAUAUUAUUUUCAGGUUGGGAAAGAGCAACAGAGACUUGA
rnacentral:lncRNA from 1 species